AAUCUCCCUGAAGUGCAGAAGCCUCUCCACACGAAUGUCACCGACCUUCCACAUCCAUGGAUAUCCUGCAGGUGGAUCACUUUUUCUUUUUGAUCGGAAGGUACUGAGAUACUUCCGCAAGGAUGGCCAUAACUGGAGGAAAAAGAAAGAUGGAAAAACAGUGAAGGAAGCUCAUGAGAGGUUACAAGCUGGAAGUGUUGAUGUUUUACAAUGCUACCAUUCUGCCUUCCAAUAGGAAAAGCUAAGAUAGAACGAGAAGGAAAAGAUGUGACCAUUAUAGCUUUCUCAAAGAUGGUGGGUUAUUCCCUCCAGGCAAGGCAAAACCAAGUUCUUUAGUAAGGGUUGCAAGCCCAGCCUAACACUUAAGAGCAAAGGCCUGACCCAAGCUUGGCAUGGGCGUAGCACAAGCUGGCCAAAGCAUUUUCUCUUUAGAUCCAGGAGCUAGAUGAUGAAGUCUUAAUGGAGAAUCGGAGUUAGAAUGUGCUUGGUCUCACCAUGUUAGAGUAAGGCUGUAGUGGUUAUUCUCAGAGUUAUGUUCCGGCGAACCUGCUAGCAAUUCUGGAUGGUUUUGGGUCUAAUCCUAUAACUUUCUCUGUUUGAUCAUCGUCCUCUGCUCCUAUUAUACUUACAACCGGCGAUCUGUUGUAUUCUGAAAUUUGUUUAUUUAGAAAUGUGAAUGUAGGAUGCAUUGUAUGAUUUGAUUGCUAUUUGUAAUAUGAAUGCAUCAUUUUCUUU